ACGAUUCGUAGGAAGAUUUCGGUUUCGAUUUCUUUGUGCACUUUCGUAACUGUCGUCUUUUCAUCAAACUAGGAUGAUAUUGGAAUGUUAUAUCUUUUGUGUUUAUUUUAUUCCUCAAUGGUUGAUGCUCUAAAUAGUAAGAAAGAAGAAACAAAUUGAUUUCUCUACUCAUUUUCUCACACAUCUCCUUUCCUUAUCUCGAUUUCCAAUCUCUGUCUUUCUUUAUAACUGAUCAUUUCUGCAAUGUCUCAAACAAUGUGUAUUUCUUCAACUUACAAACACUGUCCCAAAACCCUAAAACUAUGUUAUCACAUCAAAUUCUUGAUCUCGUUGAACCAUAAUUUUAAUUGGCUUUAAAAACCUAACAGUUUCGGCUAUAAGAAAGCUGCAUAGUGCUUGCGGGAUGAAUUCUAGUUGCCUAAAACGGUUCAUAAUGAUCAAGAACAUCAAAAGAAGAAAAAGAAGCAGUGAAAGAGUUAAUUCACAAAACCAAAACGAUUCUGCUAGUGCUGGUUGUGGUUAUUCUGUUACUUUUGCCUUGCAUUUUUGCAUCUUUUUUAAUUUUGCCAAUCAUGCAAAGUAAUUUUUGUCUUUUGAUAUUGCAAAUCUUGUCAUUUAAACAAUAUCACAUGCAUUAACACAAAAUAGGGCUCAACUCCUCAUAUUUGAGGUUGUUGUGCGAAAGAAAUAAGAGCAAAGAGUCAUGAUGUGUUCUAUUUGUUCCCAAAACGUAUCACUGUUUAAAGCUGGUGUUUUUGUUUUCUUUUCUUUAUAAAAUAUAUCAAAUAUAUAAGUAACUCGUGUUUUAUUUUGUCCGGUUAUGACACUUCUAUCAAAUGCUACCGUAUUAAUGCAGAUUAGAGUCAAAUUUCUCUCAGAUUGAUUACUACCCAACAUGCUAUACCAUCAUUCCUAUGCUGUAUCUGUUUCCCCAUUGUUCAUUAUUUCUCAACAUGAUUCUUCAUUACCUUACCUUAUCUCAUCAUCACUGAACUGAUUAUGAUGUUUUUUCAAAUAAAAAUCACAAACUCCACGAAGAGGAAAUUAUCUGAGCACGCAAAACUCUUGAAUCACUCUCUUUUUCCAUAAUUUUUUACUAUGAAAAUGCUAGUUCUGCAAGACUUAACAGUUUUCAGAUUAAGUGACGUUUUGAAUCUUAAAUACAUGAUGGAUGCCAUAAUGUCUUGCUUUGCUUGUGUAUAUUGUCCGUUGUUGAUUAUAUACUGCAUUGCUUUUGCUGCAGGUAACGUUCUUCUGUUACGAAACAACUUAAGUUUGAGUCCAGAUAUUGCUGAAGUUUCUCAGGAGAAAUUGCUUGUUACAUUUUGAACUUCAGCGGAUAAUAUUGCGAUUUUCUUGUACUUCCGCGGAUAAUUAUGCAUAAUAUUGCGAUUUUCUUGUACUUCCGCGGAUAAUUAUGCGAUUUUCUUGAAAUUCAGCUGAUAAUAUUGCAAUUUUCUUGAACUAGCUGAUAAUGAUGUCGUUUUCUUGAACUUCAUCUGAUAAUGAUGUGGUUUUCUUGAACCUGAACUGAUAAUAUUGCGCUUUUCUUAAACCUCAACUGAUAAUGAUGUGAUUUUCUUGAACUUUUGGUGACAUGAUGUGAUUUUCUUGAACUUCUGUUGAUAAUGAUGUGAUUUUCUUGAACUUCUGUUGAUAAUGAUUUGAUUUUCUUGAACCUCAGCUGAUAAUGAUUUGAUUUUCUUGAACUUCAGCUGAUAAUAUUAUGAUGUUCUUAAACCUCAACUGAUUGGAUGAGUAUUAAGUGAUCAUGCAUUACUUUCAGGUAGUUGUACAUCCACAUUGGUGAUUAUGGACAAACACCAGGUAACCUUACUCUCUUGCCUCUUCAUCUUGUAUUAAGUGUACAUUAAUUUGUUGUAUGUUUGAGAGUAUAGUGUCUCUUGGUCAAAGGUAUCUUCCCGUUACUCUCAGGAAACUUACCAAACAUUUCUUGAAGGCAGUGGAUGGAAUAAUUUUGAAGGACAUUAUUCACUUUCUCAAAAGCUCAUUUCCUUGUUUUAAUUUUAGGAAAUCAGAGUUCAACUCCCUCUAACCAUGUUGCCUCAGAUGAUGUAGAUGGUGGUGAGGACUUGAAGCCUUUUCCUGUUGCUAUCUCACUGCAAUGCAUAUACUGAUUAUCCCACAUGACCCGUUUUUGUACUGUGCUUGGUUGUUGAUUGUGUUCUUUUCUGAUACUGGAGUUUUCUUAGAGCAAGUUCAUUUAUGAUUAAUUGAUUAUAAGUGAAGGUUGCUACCUUUUCAUGGUAAUAGGGAUAAAUAAAACAUGUUCUUGUUUAAACAAGAAAACCUUCGGUGACCUUUUCUUGGUGAUUGGCAUAAUUAAAGGUUGCUGGUAUAGGUGAAUUUUGGAGCGAAAGUAACCUGUUUUUCUCCUUUAACUUGUGUGUUUUUUCACUUUAUCUAGUCUAGGGCAAAUUGGAAAACAUCUGUCCAACUUUCUUUAUUGAAGAAAAUGGUAGUGUUGACUAUAAGGGGGGAAAGUGGCCCUGCUUUUGCGAAUAAGAUGAAUAAAAACUCAUGCCUCUUUCAAUUGUAAUUCUCUUACAUUUUACUUUCAGUGGCUAAUUCUUUUGGUUGUUCAUGUUAUGUUGAAUGCUGAAUUUCUUAUGUCACUUUUAUUGUUCAUACUGUACUAUAUGUGCACCAAACGCUACCUGGCAUCUAUGUCACUUAUGUCUUAGGACUGUGUUUUUUCACUGGUUCUUGUUUCAAUUCAACUUUACAUUGUGAUGUCCAUCCCAAUGGUUUAAUGUCUCUUAACCUUUCUAUGUUCAGUAAAGUGGUCCAGAAGAUAAGGAUGCAAGGAAAGAUAAAGGGAUGGGCCAGCUGUCUAUUAAAUGCAAAGAGGGUAUCCCCAAAGCUACCGAAGAG
rnacentral:lncRNA from 1 species